ACAAAACGUUAUAAUACCGUAGUUCUAUCAUAAACAUGACCGUGACCAUUACGUAUCUCUUUUCGGUUAUUACACAUGCUUAGAGACUAGCGAACGUUAGUAAUUCAAUUCUUUCCUUGUCGGGUAUAUUCUACGUAUUCCAAUAUUCACGUUCACGAUAAAUCCUCGUUAAUUGAAAUUUAUUUUGACGAAACGAUAAAAUCCGAAGAUCCUUAAAUAUCGAUAUCGUCGUUUGUGAAGUGCGAAGAUCCAAUUUAUCUCACAAAAUAUAACUGAAAAUCACACGAAUAUAAAAAAUUUCUCAAUCUGACGAUUUUUCUGGAAAUUCAUGAACUACAGUGAACGUUAAUUUGGUCAGACUAAUCGUACAUUUAUAUUACGUUAUUAUUAAGUAAUAUAAAUGAUGUUUGAAUAAGUCCUUAGAGUAAAAAAUCUACAAAAACAAAUUGUACCAAGUUCUUCAUGAAUAGAACUUAAAAUACCAACAAUGAUAUAUAACUCAAAGGUUAAAAGGGAUACCAAGGAGAAGAAAAAGGAAGAACGACGUCGGUAGGUCCGGUUGAUUUAUUCAAGUGGAGCAACGAAGGGAAAUGAAAAGUAAUCCUGAAUUCGUUGCGAAAUGACGAUGUAAAUGAAUGCGUAAGUUCUCGAAUUAAUAUUUCAAUGACUCGAAAUGAGAAAACACUCGCGUAAUAAUACAAAUAUUAAGGGCAAAUAGAAAGAAAGAUAAAAGAAAAAAAGACAAAGGAACAUGUUUCAUCGAAUAUUCGUAUGAAUUAAUUGUUCUUAUGUCCAAGUAGCAAAUUGAAAAGGACUAAUUUAUACGUGUAAUAAGAAAAACAAACGUAAAUAAUCGUUACAAUCUAUAUUUAACAUAUAUAUGUAUAUGUAUUAAAAAAAAAAAAAACAACAAAGGUUAUCUUUCUUAUCAAGAGGUCGAUCAAAUUUGCCAAUAACAAGAAAUAUAUAUAUAUAUAUAUAUAUAUAUAUCCGAUAAAUAGAAAAACAUAAUAGACAAAUUCGUUGAAGGACAAAUUAAAUUAAAUAUUUCCAACUAUAAAACUUUUCCGUUUUAAUUAUAAGAAUGAUCGUUAUUAUCUGAUGUCCUCGUACGAAGGAUUCUUAAUACUUACAUACAUAUCUACAUUUCUCAAGGGAAAUUAAACAACAAAGAGCUUUAGUAAACAGCGUCGCAAACUUGUCUCAUUCUAAAUAGAUAAUAGAAAACGCACGAUCAAAAACAAAGUCAAAUUUCAUUUCGCAAAUGACAUACUCGUGCUUUGUUAUUCUAUCCGUUCCUGUAGAUUUCCAUACAUAAGUAAUUUGAAACCGGAACGAGAGAUUAAGCAUAAAUUUAGUAGAAUUUUGUAUUCUUUUAAACGAAAUUCAUCGGGUUGCAUUGAUUGUGCAUUUUUCGGGUCAAGGAUCGAAGAAAAAGAUAGAAAAAAAGAAGGAAAAAGAGUAGAAAGUACAUACACCGUUUCUUCAUGAUAUAGACGCUACUUUUCUUAGAAAGAAAAAUCUUUACGAUGUAGAAAUCCUUGAUCGAAGGAUCUACUGUUAAGAUCUUUCUCUCUCUCUUGUUCUCCUUCUCUUCCUUCUUCUUCCUUAGCACGAAUAUAGGUAAACAGAACAACCGAAGGUCACAUUUUCCUUUAGAAGAAUAACAACAGUUCUGGUUUUUGUAUAUGAAAUACACAGACCUGUACACAAGAGUA